rnacentral:tRNA from 1 species
GGACCUGUGGUGUAGCCUGGAUAUCAUCGGGGCCUCCGGAGCCUCUGACCCGGAUUCGAAAGUCACAUGGAGCA